rnacentral:rRNA from 1 species
AUUGAACGCUGGCGGCACGCUUAACACAUGCAAGUCGAGCGGUAACAUGGUUAGUAGCAAUACUAACUGAUGACGAGCGGUGGACGGGUGAGUAACACGUAGGAACUUGCCCAGUAGUGGGGGACAACCAAGGGAAACUUUGGCUAAUACCGCAUAUUCUCGAGAGAGGAAAGCUGCCGCAAGGUGGCGCUAUUGGAGAGGCCUGCGUCCGAUUAGCUAGUUGGUGAGGUAAAGGCUCACCAAGGCGAGGAUCGGUAACUGGUUUGAGAGGACGACCAGUCACACUGGGACUGAGACACGGCCCAGACUCCUACGGGAGGCAGCAGUGGGGAAUCUUGGACAAUGGGGGCAACCCUGAUCCAGCGAUGCCGCGUGAGUGAAGAAGGCCUUCGGGUCGUAAAGCUCUUUAGGCUGGGAAGAAGGUUGGUAGUUUAAGAGACAAUCAGCUUGACGGUACCAGCAGAAUAAGCACCGGCAAACUCUGUGCCAGCCGCCGCCGUAA